rnacentral:rRNA from 1 species
AACGAACGCUGGCGGCGUGGAUAAGACAUGCAAGUCGAGCGCUGACUACAGGGUAGCAAUAUUCUGUAGUUGGAGCGGCGCAAGGGUGCGUAACACGUGGGUAAUCUGCCGUGAAGUUUGGGAUAACUUGCUGAAAGGUGAGCUAAUACCGGAUGUGACAAUUGGAAGGCAUCUUCUGAUUUUCAAAGCCGGGGUAACCUGGCGCUUCUUGAUGAGCCCGCGGCCUAUCAGCUAGUUGGCGAGGUAACGGCUCACCAAGGCUAUGACGGGUAGCUGGUCUGAGAGGACGACCAGUCACACUGGAACUGAGACACGGUCCAGACACCUACGGGUGCAGCAGUCGAGAAUUUUUCUCAAUGGGGCAACCCUGAAGGAGCGACGCCGCGUGGAGGAUGAAGGCUUUCGGGUUG